rnacentral:lncRNA from 1 species
AUUAAUUUUCGCUAAACAUAUAUGUUUGAAUUGGUCGGAGCCUGAUCAGAGCUGAAGGACAAAGAUCCGAUUCCUAAAGAAUUUACUACCCGUAUGUUAUAUAUUAUAUGAUCAUGAAAAAUUCCAAAAAAAAUAAAAGUUUCAUGAAAGAAAGAGAAAUAUAUCAAAUGUGAUAUGCGCAACGUAUAUGGCAUCGAAAAUUAA